AUGAUUCUAAGCCAGAAAGUACCUAAGAUACUUAAAUAAAGUCAUAAAAUGUCAAAAGUAGGUCACCGUGACCUACUUUUUGGUCGACAUUUUCCGAAAACCCAAGAUGCAUCAACUGACAAAGUUUGACAAUUCUAAGCCAAUAAGUUCCUGAGAUACUUAAAUAUAGCCAUAAAAUGUCAAAAUAGGUCAUGGUGACCUACUUUUUGGUUGACAUUCUCCGAAAACCCAAGAUGCAUCAACUGACAAAGUUUGAUGAUUCUAAGCCAAUAAGUACCUAAGAUACGUAAAUAUAGCCAUAAAAUGUCAAAAGUAGGUCACUGUGACCUACUUUUUGGUCGAUGUUUUCCGAA